rnacentral:lncRNA from 1 species
AAUCCAUAUGCUCCUUGGUUUUCUUCCUUGCCCCACUAUUGUUCUGUCUCAGUCUCUUUUGCUGGUCUACCCUCCUUCUGUUCUCUACCUCUCUUAAAAGUUGAUAUUUCUCAGAGUUCUGUCUCAGUUCUUUCCUUCACAUUCUCCAUACUCAUUCUUACAGUUGAGUAUCUACUGAUGUUAUUUCACUGCCAUUGAUACAGUGAUGACUUCGGAAGCUAUCCAUAUUUUUAGUCCGCUCUCCUGAACCCUGAAGCUGGGUUUGUGUGCAGCUCCUCUUGGAUGUCUCCUAGGUACUACUUCAAAGUCAGUAUGCUGUCAACUGACCUUCUCCCUUUUUGCUUCUUACCACCAUCAUCACCCUUCCCCCUCCCAACUAGUUCCAAUUUUGUUCCCCUUUUAUCCAUUCUCCGUGUGAAGCCUUAGGAAACUAAAAUUUGAUCAAAAAUGUUUUCUUUGAAUGUAGUCCAGACUCUUCAUAAAGGCUUUAAAGACCCAUUUGCUUUCCCUAAAAUUUUAUAUUACAAAAAUACUCAGUCAUCUAUUAUAGUUAUUAAGUAUUCAUGAUUACUUAUAAACAUUUAUUAAUGAGAAGACCUAUUCAUUAAAAUUGAGAUUCAUAUAUUUCUGGCACUUUGAGAUUAUACAGACAUAUCAAUUAUUUGGGUUUUUAAUCAUAUUUUUUCUAUCCAUCUAGGAUUCUCUUACCUUUUAUGCAGUCAUAUGCAAGAUCAGGAGGGUUUUCCAUCACUGGAAAGAUCAAAACUGCACUAAUUGAGAAUGCAAUCUACUAUGGCACCUAUUUGCUGAUUUUUGGAGCAUUUUUAAUUUAUGUAGCUGUAAACCCACAUUUACAUUUAGAAUGGUAAGAAAAGUAGUCUUCUUAACAUUGCUUUAAUGUAUGUUUGCAUUUUUAAAAAAUCAUUUUUAAUUUCAUAUGUGCAGGUAAAAAGACAUUUCAUUGAGAAAUAUAUUGUUACAUAUUUUAUGGAUUUCCCCAAAAGAAUAUGUGAAUAAUCCAUAUUACUAAGAAAAUAUGGAAUGACAUCUUUAAAUAUAGAUUUUAGGCAAAAGAUUAAUGAUUAGUCUAAUGGCUAUAUAUUAAAAGUAAUAACCCUUAUGAUUUUUGGAUAGAAUUUCAAAAUUUUUAUGAUAAAAUAACUGGUUUUAUUUUUCAUUGGAACUUGUGAUUUUUUUUGUUUUGAUUAUAAUUUGAAGGCAUAUUUGUUCUUAAUGUUACCUUGGAUUUAGAUAUUUCAAUAAAAUUGAAAUCUGUUUUAUACUUAUGAUUUGUAAUAUAUGUGAAGGUCUACAUCUGAAAAUUUAGGAAUAGAUCAGCAGUGCUAGGUCUCACUAUUGUAUUCCUGAGAUUUGCUAGGUCAGCAACACAGGUUAAUUUGAAACAUUUUCAAACUUCUUUUGUUUAAUAUAGAAUAAGAAAUCACCUAAUGAAAAAUGUUUCCUUUGGGAAAAUAUAUACAUAUUAUUGCCAUGAAUUAUUCUAGAUGCUAAUUUUAACUGCAGUAGAAACAGUGUCUCCUGUGUUAAAGUCUAUUUAUGCAGUCGCAUUUUAUCUUUCCAUUAAAAUAUACAUAUUAUCUGUUGUUUCCCUUUCUUAGGAACCAGCUUCAGACAAUUGGGAUAGCUGCUGCAAAUACAUGGGGUCUGUUUCUUCUUGUGUUGUUGUUGGGGUAUGGCUUGGUGGAAAUUCCUCGAUCAUACUGGAAUGGAGCAAAAAGGGGUUAUCUACUUAUGAAAACGUAUUUUAAGGCAGCCAAACUGAUGACAGAGAAAGCAGAUGCAGAAGAGAAUUUGGAAGAUGCCAUGGAGGUAAGCAAGUUUGAACCUUAUAAGCAAUAGUCACUAAGUCAUAUGUAUCCCCUUUUAGUCAUUUUUGGUUUGUUGUUGUUGUUAGUGCAUUGAUGGGCUUCAGACUGCAAAACUGGUGUUGUGCAAUCCUUCAGGAUGUCUCAUCCAGGAUGACUUUUUAGCAGUUCAGCCUCAUGAUGUGUCUUGUCCAUCUUCUGUCUGACAGAGAUUCAUGGAAAAUAUAUUCAAUAGUGCAGGGCUACGCCUAUUAUUUUGAGGUAACUUUUAAUAGUACCCUCUUUAAUUUUCAAAAGUCUCCGAGAUUAAAUGAUAAAUUGUAUGGUUACCCUAACAUAGUAGAACUGAGAAUAAUGACCAGAGGACACUUAUUUCCGAAAGGUUAACCUAAGGUAAUCCCACCAAUUCUGGAAACCUCUUUAAAGAACAAUUUGCAUGGGAGUUUGUAUUGGUAAGUUUUGUUUCCUAUCUGUAAUCUUAAUAAGACACUUCAUUUUACUUGAUGACUUAACCUAGUUUCACAAAGUUGUUGAAAGUAUAACUUUCAAUACUGUACAUAAAAAUAUACAACAAAUUAUAAAAUUUUUCUGUGUUAAAUAAAAAUUUUGUUAUGGAUUUAAAGAGAUUAUUGUAGUCACCUCACAUUUUUGCUUCCCAGGGAAAAUAUGCUACUCAGCUGAUGAUACUCUCCAAAUUAAAACUCCUGUUGAAGGCUUUUCAUUCAUGUUAGAAUAAACUCCAAAAUGUUUUAAUGCAGCCUACAGAAAAAUAAUUUGGCCUAUGUUUAGCUCUCCAGCUGUAUCCCAAGCCUCUAUUUUCUUGCACUGGUCAUCUUUGGUUUCUCAAACUUGCUAAUGUUGAUGAAAUAAUAAACAAUUCUAUAGACUUAAUAUUUACCUAACACUCAACUUUCGUUCCUCAAACUUAGUAAUGGUGAUAAUUAUAGUAAACAAUUAUAUAGACUUACUAUUUGCCUAAGAGGGACUUUCUAAGCACUAUACAUAUAUUUAAUUCUCAUGACUUUAUGAUAGAGAUUUUUGUAAAUCCCCAUUCUAUAAAUGAAGAAUAUGAGGCACGGAGAGAUUAAGUAACUUUCUCAUGUCUACAUGGCUAGGAAGUGAUAAGAGCCAGGCAGUCUUGCCUUAAACAGGGACUGACAAACUUUUCUGUAAAGGGCCAGAUAGUAAAUAUUUUAGGCUUUGUGUGCAAUGUCAUUUCUAUUGCAACUACUCUGUCAUUGUAGGAUGAAAGCAGCCAUAGCCAGUAAAUAAAUGAAUGAGAGUGGGUGUGUUCUAGUAUGAGAACAAGUAGUGGACUGAAUUGAUCUGGCUUGAUGACCAUAUGCUUAAUUAUUACACACAUUGUCUUUCUUUUCUAUCUUUGAGCAUGCUAUUCCCAAACUAUUAGAAUGCUCUUUUCAGCACUCUCUUCAGCUAAUUCCUAUUUCAUUUUCAAGUCUUAACAUAAAUGAUAAUUCUUCAGGGAAGCUUUAUUAGCUUCCUAGGACUGCUGUAACAAAACUACUACAAACUGGGUGGCUUAAACAAUAGAAAAUAUUGGCUCACAGUUCUGGGGACUAACGUUCAAGAUUAAGGUAUCUGCAGGGUUGGUUCCUUCUGAGGGUUCUAGGGAAAAUCUGUUCCAUGUUUGUCUUCUGUCUUCUGGUGGUCUACGAUCUUUGGCAUUCCUUGACUUGUAGACCCCUGCCUUCAUCUUCACAUGGUGUUCUCCCUGCGUGCCAGUGUCCAAACUUCAUUGUUUUGUAAGGACACCAGUCAUAUUGGAUUAGAGUUCAUCCCACUCCAGUAUAACCUCAUCUUAACUUAGCUAAUUAAAUCUGCAACAACCCUAUUCCAAAUAAGAUCACAUGUUAAGAUACUGGAGGUUAGGUUUCAGGGGACACAAUUCAACCCAUAACAUCUUCCCUGAUUGUCCAGACUCUUAAACACUCAGCAACCAUUUUUUAAAUGAAUGAAUAAAUGAAUAAAUGAAUGUAUAC